GUUUCCUGUGGCUCAAUGGCGAGAGCACCGAGGUUGCGGAGGUGUAGGUUCGAUUCAUACCUGGAACU
rnacentral:tRNA from 1 species